rnacentral:rRNA from 1 species
UCUUGGUCAUUUAGAGGAAGUAAGAGUCGUAACAAGGUCUCCGUUGGUGAACCAGCGGAGGGAUCAUUACCGAGUACUAUAACUCAUAACCCUUUGUGAACCUUCAUACCUGUUGCUUCGGCGGCGCGCCUCUCGGGGCGUGCCCGCCGGCAUUAUCAGAAUCUCUGUUCGAACCCGACGAUACUUCUGAGUGUUCUAAGCGAACUGUUAAAACUUUCAACAACGGAUCUCUUGGCUCCAGCAUCGAUGAAGAACGCAGCGAAACGCGAUAUGUAAUGUGAAUUGCAGAAUUCAGUGAAUCAUCGAAUCUUUGAACGCACAUGGCGCCUUCCAGUAUCCUGGGAGGCAUGCCUGUCCGAGCGUCGUUUCAACCCUCGAGCCCCCGUGGCCCGGCGUUGGGGACCUGCCCAGGCAGUCCCCGAAAACCAGUGGCGGACCCGACGGGCCCUUCCUUUGCGUAGUAACAUCUGCCUCGCAUCGGGAGCCCCCGGGCUAUCCGGCCUCUAAACCCCCCUCAAGCCCGCUCCGGCGGCACCAAGGUUGACCUCGGAUCAGGUAGGAAUACCCGCUGAACUUAAGCAUAUCAAUAAGCGGAGGA